UAUGACUGGCAGAAACGCAUUGUGUAACCAGCAGUCUUUUUUCACUAUCUAUGUGAAGAAGCCGUCUCCUGAGAGAAAGGAUAGGCAGUGUGAUACAGAAACAGUACCACCUCAGGAGUCAGACAAACCUGACAGUUUGACUCUGCGUUAAGUUCUUCACUUGAGUCUUGGUGCCCUUACUUGUGAAAUAGAAUAAUACUGCCUAACUUAAUGUUAUUCUGAAUAUUUGAGAAGAUAAGUCAUUCGACAGAUAUUCACCAAGUGCUUUAUCCUGAGAGCAAUGGAGAAUCGCUAUAAGGUCUUAAACAGAAGAAGCAACAUAAUUAAACAUGAACUUUGGAAACAGAACUCUGGCUGCAAUACGAGGAAUGAAUGAGGGAACAUGUUAGUGGAUAUCUUGGAUCUCUUGCUUGGAUAUCUGAGUGGAUGGAGGUGCCGCUAACUAGAAGAGAGAACACUGGAAAAGCAGCAGGUUGAGAGAAAAGUGACAAAUUCUGUUCUGGACAGAUCUCUUACAUGGUUGAGGAUAUCUUUGCUUCCCCCGCUGGCCUGGAAACAUCCACUGCUCAUGGACCAUGAGCUACUUAUUAUAAUGCAGCGAAGGAUGAUGUCAGUGAUGUUGAAACCAGAAAAAGAAAGGCUUUCUUCUGUGCAUGUCCUGUCUCCAAUUUUUUAUUAAAUAGUAUUUAUGAUGAAAA